rnacentral:rRNA from 1 species
AGUGAACGCUGGCGGUAGGCCUAACACAUGCAAGUCGAACGGCAGCACAGGAGAGCUUGCUCUCUGGGUGGCGAGUGGCGGACGGGUGAGGAAUACAUCGGAAUCUACCUUUUCGUGGGGGAUAACGUAGGGAAACUUACGCUACUACCGCAUACGACCUACGGGUGAAAGUGGGGGACCGCAAGGCCUCACGCGACUAGAUGAGCCCGUGGCGGAUUAUCUAGUUGGCGGGGUGAUGGCCCACCAAGGCGACGCUCGGUAGCUGGUCUGAGAGGAUGAUCAGCCACACUGGAACUGAGAAACGGUCCAGACUCCUACGGGAGGCAGCAGUGGGGAAUAUUGGACAAUGGGCGCAAGCCUGAUCCAGCCAUAUCGCGUGGGUGAAGAAGGCCUUCGGGUUGUAAAGCCCUUUUGUUGGGAAAGAAAUCCUGUCGAUUAAUACUCGGUGGGGAUGACGGUACCCAAAGAAUAAGCACCGGCUAACUUCGUGCCAGCCGCCGCGGUAACAC